GCCCUGCUGAUGGAAUUGGCAGACAUGCCUGUCUUAGAAACAGGUGGCCGGAAGGUCGUGGGAGUUCGAGUCUCUCGCGGGGCACCA
rnacentral:tRNA from 1 species